GACAGAGGUGCCGAGCGUUAGGCGGAAUCACUGGGCUUAAAGCGUGUGUAGGCGGAUCGUUAAGUGCCUUGUGAAAUCCCACGGCUCACCCGUGGAACUGCUGGGCAUACUGGCGGUCUUGAGCCACCUAGGGGCAACCGGAACAAACGGUGGAGCGGUGAAAUGCGUAGAUAUCGUUUGGAACGCCAAUGGUGAAAACAGGUUGCUGGGGGUGUGCUGACGCUGAGACACGAAAGCCAGGGGAGCGAACGGG
rnacentral:rRNA from 1 species